rnacentral:hammerhead_ribozyme from 1 species
AUAAAGAUGACGAGUCCCAAACAGGAUGAAAUGCACAUCCUGCAU